UGAGGAAUAUUGGUCAAUGGGCGAGAGCCUGAACCAGCCAAGUAGCGUGCAGGAUGACGGCCCUAUGGGUUGUAAACUGCUUUUAUGUGGGGAUAAAGUGCGUGACGUGUCAUGCAUUGCAGGUACCACAUGAAUAAGGACCGGCUAAUUCCGUGCCAGCAGCCGCGGUAAUACGGAAGGUCCGGGCGUUAUCCGGAUGUAUUGGGUUUAAAGGGAGCGUAGGCUGUCUAUUAAGCGUGUUGUGAAAUUUACCGGCGCGACCGGUGGCUUACAGCGUGAACUGGUCGACUUGAGUAUGCAGGAAGUAGGCGGAAGUCAUGGUGUGGCGGUGAAAUGCUUAGAUAUCAUGACGGACUCCGAUUGCGCAGGCAGCUUACUGUAGGGUAACUGACGCUGAUUCUCGAAAGUGCGGGUAUCAAACAAG
rnacentral:rRNA from 1 species